rnacentral:tRNA from 1 species
GCCAGGAUGGCGGAAUUGGCAGACGCAGCGGACUCAAAAUCCGCCGCCCCCUAAAGGCUUGCGGGUUCGACCCCCGCUCCUGGCACCA